rnacentral:rRNA from 1 species
GGGGGAAUAUUGGGCAAUGGGGGAAACCCUGACCCAGCAACGCCGCGUGAAGGAAGAAGGCUUUCGGGCUGUAAACUUCUUUUACCAGGGACGAAGGACGUGACGGUACCUGGAGAAAAAGCCACGGCUAACUACGUGCCAGCAGCCGCGGUAAUACGUAGGUGGCAAGCGUUGUCCGGAUUUACUGGGUGUAAAGGGCGUGCAGCCGGGCCGACAAGUCAGAUGUGAAAUCCCGAGGCUUAACCUCGGAACUGCAUUUGAAACUGUUGGUCUUGAGUAUCGGAGAGGUCAUCGGAAUUCCUUGUGUAGCGGUGAAAUGCGUAGAUAUAAGGAAGAACACCAGUGGCGAAGGCGGAUGACUGGACGACAACUGACGGUGAGGCGCGAAAGCGUGGGGAGCGAACAGGAUUAGAUACCCUGGUAGU